rnacentral:rRNA from 1 species
GUCGAGCGGACAGAUGGGAGCUUGCUCCCUGAUGUUAGCGGCGGACGGGUGAGUAACACGUGGGUAACCUGCCUGUAAGACUGGGAUAACUCCGGGAAACCGGGGCUAAUACCGGAUGCUUGUUUGAACCGCAUGGUUCAAACAUAAAAGGUGGCUUCGGCUACCACUUACAGAUGGACCCGCGGCGCAUUAGCUAGUUGGUGAGGUAAUGGCUCACCAAGGCAACGAUGCGUAGCCGACCUGAGAGGGUGAUCGGCCACACUGGGACUGAGACACGGCCCAGACUCCUACGGGAGGCAGCAGUAGGGAAUCUUCCGCAAUGGACGAAAGUCUGACGGAGCAACGCCGCGUGAGUGAUGAAGGUUUUCGGAUCGUAAAGCUCUGUUGUUAGGGAAGAACAAGUACCGUUCGAAUAGGGCGGUACCUUGACGGUACCUAACCAGAAAGCCACGGCUAACUACGUGCCAGCAGCCGCGGUAAUACGUAGGUGGCAAGCGUUGUCCGGAAUUAUUGGGCGUAAAGGGCUCGCAGGCGGUUUCUUAAGUCUGAUGUGAAAGCCCCCGGCUCAACCGGGGAGGGUCAUUGGAAACUGGGGAACUUGAGUGCAGAAGAGGAGAGUGGAAUUCCACGUGUAGCGGUGAAAUGCGUAGAGAUGUGGAGGAACACCAGUGGCGAAGGCGACUCUCUGGUCUGUAACUGACGCUGAGGAGCGAAAGCGUGGGGAGCGAACAGGAUUAGAUACCCUGGUAGUCCACGCCGUAAACGAUGAGUGCUAAGUGUUAGGGGGGUUUCCGCCCCUUAGUGCUGCAGCUAACGCAUUAAGCACU